GGACGAAAGUCUGAACCAGCCAUGCCGCGUGCAGGAUGACGGCCCUACGGGUUGUAAACUGCUUUUAUACAGGAAGAAAAACUUUCUCGUGAGAGAGCUUGACGGUACUGUAAGAAUAAGGAUCGGCUAACUCCGUGCCAGCAGCCGCGGUAAUACGGAGGAUCCAAGCGUUAUCCGGAAUCAUUGGGUUUAAAGGGUCCGUAGGUGGACAGAUAAGUCAGAGGUGAAAUCCUGCAGCUCAACUGUAGAACUGCCUUUGAUACUGUUUGUCUUGAGUUAUUGUGAAGUGGUUAGAAUGUGUAGUGUAGCGGUGAAAUGCAUAGAUAUUACACAGAAUACCAAUUGCGAAGGCAGAUCACUAACAAUUAACUGACACUGAUGGACGAAAGCGUGGGUAGCGAACAGGAUUAGAUACCCUGGUAGUCCACGCCGUAAACGAUGGUCACUAGCUGUUUGGACUUCGGUCUGAGUGGCUAAGCGAAAGUGAUAAGUGACCCACCUGGGGAGUACGUUCGCAAGAAUGAAACUCAAAGGAAUUGACGGGGGCCCGCACAAGCGGUGGAGCAUGUGGUUUAAUUCGAUGAUACGCGAGGAACCUUACCAGGGCUUAAAUGUUAGGUGACAGAUCUAGAAAUAGAUUUUUCUUCGGACACUUAACAAGGUGCUGCAUGGUUGUCGUCAGCUCGUGCCGUGAGGUGUCAGGUUAAGUCCUAUAACGAGCGCAACCCCUGUUGUUAGUUGCCAGCGAGUAAUGUCGGGAACUCUAGCAAGACUGCCAGUGCAAACUGUGAGGAAGGUGGGGAUGACGUCAAAUCAUCACGGCCCUUACGUCCUGGGCUACACACGUGCUACAAUGGUAGGUACAGUGAGCAGCCAGUGCGCGAGCACGAGCAAAUCUACAAAACCUAUCUCAGUUCGGAUCGGAGUCUGCAACUCGACUCCGCGAAGCUGGAAUCGCUAGUAAUCGGAUAUCAGCCAUGAUCCGGUGAAUACGUUCCCGGGCCUUGUACACACCGCCCGUCAAGCCAUGGAAGUUGGGAGUGCCUGAAGUCCGUUUCCGCAAGGAUCGGCCUAGGGUAAAAUCGAUAACUAGGGCUAAGUCGUAACAAGGUAGCCGUACCGGAAGGUGCGGCUGGAACACCUCCUUUCU
rnacentral:rRNA from 1 species